ACGGAGGAUCCAAGCGUUAUCCGGAAUCAUUGGGUUUAAAGGGUCCGUAGGUGGAUAAUUAAGUCAGAGGUGAAAUCCUGCAGCUCAACUGUAGAAUUGCCUUUGAUACUGGUUAUCUUGAGUCAUUAUGAAGUAGUUAGAAUAUGUAGUGUAGCGGUGAAAUGCAUAGAUAUUACAUAGAAUACCAAUUGCGAAGGCAGAUUACUAAUAAUGCACUGACACUGAUGGACGAAAGCGUGGGGAGCGAACAGG
rnacentral:rRNA from 1 species